CAGUUCUUUCUACUCAUUCGUCCACCUUCUUGUUUUUAGCUGACGGUGGAGAGUUUGUUAGCUGGCAAGGACCACCAGGAAUGAGCCCAAUGAAUCCACGAAUGAAUCCCCCCAGAGGGCAGCAUCUUGGACCAAUGAAUCCUGGUAGUUAUGGGCCAAUGAGACCACCAGGUGGAGCAAUGGGUCCUGGAAUUCCCCCAAUGUCCAUGCAAGGGCCAGGAGGAAGACCGUGGCAGCCGAAUGCCUCUACUAUCAGUUACUCAUCAGCAUCACCUGGUAGCCAUUACG